GGCUUGAGGGGUGGGUACCUGGGGCAGGACACCCGCGAAGGCCUUUCCCGAGGCCCGUCUUUGCUCGGUUAGGCUCCCGGUCUCCACUUAGUGUCUCUCCUGCCUCAGCCGCUUCCUGGCCUCCUCUACGAUUUGGGCUGGAGACUACGCCAGCUGGAGGACAGGGGAAGAGGUGCACCGGGACCUGGAGGAGCUGGAUCAGACCUAGGAACCCCUGCUAGGCCUCAGUGGGGCCACCGGGAAGCUGACAGAGAGCAGAGACUGACCGACCCAGUACACAUCUUCAUGCCCCUAAUCGUGCGUUACUGGCAUACCGACGCAGGGGAGCCUGAAGGUGUUUAUGUGUUUUUAAAAAGGGAACCAAUUUUUUUUUUUUUUUUUUUUUUUUUUNNNNNNNNNNNNNNNNNNNNNNNNNNNNNNNNNNNNNNNAAUUUUUUUUUUUUUUUUUUUUUUUUUUGGUAAAAGCCAUCUGCAGAAGCUGCUCCAGACUCUUCCACUUACUCCGGGGAACUUUGGGCUCAAAUUUACACCUCGUUCUCCUUGGCUGGCUGAGACAUCUUGGACAGGCCAAUUUUUGUCCAGACCUGCGAGUCACAGAGGAAUAAAAUGACAGUAUUUAGAGCGGGUUUGCAAAGGGUAGUAUUAUCCCUACUGUGCAGUCUACUGGGAGAACAAUAAAUUAUUAUUGAUAAUAAGUCCCAAAGUUCUCCCAGCUGGAGACGGAUCUUUUUGUUAGCCCCUUUUGAAGAAAAGGAGCUGCGAUGUGAAUGGGUUACAUAAAAUGCCUUGAACCUCACAGCCAGAACCAGGCCCAGGUUUGCUUUCAACCCAGGCAGGCUGAUGUAGAAGGCACCACUACACUGCCAGAAUUCUAGCUGUGUUCUAAGCUCGUCCGGAAUGUCCCCUUCCCCA
rnacentral:lncRNA from 1 species